UGAAACUACUUUCACGUGGAGGACUUAUCUGCAAAAAGGGAAUCUCCGAACCGCACCUCCACCACCUGCCGCGCCGGCCGGCCGGCCGGCGAGCCUCUUCCUCCGGUCGUUCCCCUCCUACUCGCAUCGUGUCUCCAUUUUCUGGGUGUAGUUCGGAAAGAUCUGGACCGUGGCAACCGAUCUACAAGGCCAUGGGGUUCCUCGAGGACUUCCAAGCCAGUGUUGAAGCGUUGCCAGCUAUGCUGCACAAGAACUAUUCAUUAAUGCAAGAGCUAGAUAAAAGUUUGCAAGGUGUGCAACUAGAAAAUGAACAGCGCUGUCAGCAAGAAAUAGAGGACAUUAAGCAUGGACUUGAAUCCGGAAGUAUUACAUUUGACCCAGCAAAACUGAAAUUUUCUGAUGAAGCAAUUGAGGAGCAGAAUUGCUGACGAGAAGGUGGCUUUAGCCACUCAGACUUAUGACCUGGGCUAUGAGGGCAUCCUUGAAGCGAUGAGGAAGGCUAGGAGGCUCAAUAACCACGUUUUCUCCAUGUUGAGGGCGCGCUGCCCCCUCGAGGACAAGAUUGCAUGUGCUAUCAAGCCAAGUGGGGCACCUCUUCAUCGUAUGAAAUUUAUGAACACUGUGUCUGCAUUCGAGACAUUGCCACAAAGAGUCACCAGACAAGAUCCAGGCGGAUGUGUUCCUCUUUUGUAUGUGUGGUCGUGUAAUGUGUUGUCGUAAGCUACUUGUAUAUUAUGUUGUUGCACUCAUAAACGGUGAACCCUGGGACUUGAAUAAAAGAAGAAUGUACUUGCUGUA